GUUCUUUCAAUCCAAAAGUGGACUGAAGCUGGACUAAAUCUUAGGUGUGAUUGGGCCCUUAAGGUCAGCAUGUGCCACACUCGAGCAGAGCCAGCUCCUGGAAUUUAGCAUCCCAGCCCUGAACUGCUCUUCAAAUAUUUUUCCCAAGUGUUCCAUGCAGUGAAUGCUAUCAGAAUAUAUUACAUAGCUACCACUUUAAACUCUCAGAAUGCCUAUCCCCGUAGCGUUACUUCAGGAGAUUGUGAACAUUUAAAAUGGCCACCCCAGUUCCAGCUGCGCAAAAGAUAGGCAUUAACAGCUUGAACUUUUCCUUCAGGGAGUGGCAGGCCUAACCUGUGAGACAGUCCCCAAUUUUUUAGCAGCUUCGGUCAACAAAGCCUAGCGUUCUUUCUUUCCUCCUUCCUUCCUUGAUACCACUUUUCUAAGNCCUGCAGGUAGCCAGUCAAAAAGGAUCCCAAUAGUUUGCAGAAAAGAAACUUCAGCUGACUAAAAAAACCCCGUUUCGUCUGCAUACUACUGAGAAAGAAGAAUUCAGGGGCAGAGCAGAAACUUGCUGUGUACCUUUAAAAUUCAGUUUUCUCCUCCCUCUGUUAUGGUCCCAGCCGUUCCUGGAAGUCCCGCCCAACAGGGCUACUGAUGGACACCUUUUCUGACCUAUAGAACGUCCGUGGUGGAGGUCGUGAGCCAAUGAGACGAAAUAUUUGAACAUGGUGCCAGGCUCUAGGAAGAGUUUCAGGAAGCGACUGUUCUGUAGCUGAACACGGGAAGGUGGUCAGUAGCUCCGAAGGUGAGGGAAGCGGCGGCGGUUUCACACAGCCAUCCUGUCAGUGCUUUUGGACAAAAUGUAAAUCAUAGGGAUCUUGCUCAGAGGAUUUGAACUUUGACUUGCUGACUGAUAUAAAGAUAAGAGAGGGAUGAAGAUCAUACCUGCACUUACCUCCCUUAGAGGCCAGCCAGGUGCCUACCCAGGAGCAGCAUACCCUCCCAAUUCUUCAUAUCCAGCUGACUUCAACCCAGCACACCCUCCUCCUCCUGUGAAUCCAGCCUUCCCCCAAGGUCCAGUCCCUGCUGGCUCGUAUCCUGCCCCCCCUGCAGGAAUCCCCGGACAACCUGCGUAUCCUUCAGGUCACCCUAAUCAGCUGCCAUAUCCUGGGCAUCAGCCCGGCUAUCCCGUGCCAUCUGGAGGUCCUUAUCCUCCACCUGCUCCUGGUAUGCCUGGAGGAAUGGGAGUGAAUCCAUUGGUUCCUGGGGCUAUUGCUGUGGGAACCCAUGUGAUGGAUAAGAAGGCAGCAAAAAAGAUGAAGAAGAAAAUGAAGAAGGCCCACAAGAUGCACAAGCCACACAAACUCCAUAAGCUUCAUGGAAAGCAUUCCUCUUCCUCCUCAUCUAGCAGCAGUGAUUCUGACUGAGGCCUCUCCCUACCUCUGAGCUGUAUCUUCUUCCCACAGANGCAGAUCCUUACACCAGUCUUCCUGCUUCUGCCCUACACUGUCUUCUAAUGUCUCACAAGAUUAAAAAUGAUGCACGCUUACUGCUCAUCCUAUCUUACAGGACUGGGCCACAUGUCAUGUUAUCCCAAGGGCGUGUGCAGUCUCUUGCAAAGUCUGAUGGGAAUUCUGGUGUAGCUGACCAAGCAGCGUUUGUAUAAUCAGUUGUUGUGUCUUGACAAACCAGAAGAGUAGUUAUAGUUGGUUUAAAGAAAGUGUGUCUGCAAACACAAGCAACAGUGGCAGCCUUCAGAAAUGUGGGCUGUUCAUUCCUACAGCAUACAGAGUUGUUUCUCAACACUGAGGUUUCGGAGGAUUUCUUUAAGCAAGUUCGGAUUCAGUGGAACAGGCACUCUGGGGUAAAGUUCAUUGCAAGGCAGUAGAUCCAAGGUGGUGUCAACCUUCCUUAAAAUUAGUCAAAUAUAAAAUUAAAAUUACUUGAGAUAAUUAUCAUGUUUUGUGUGAAACCCUUAUCAAUGACAAAUAAAAAGAGGCAGCCCUGUAUUUAUAUAGCA
rnacentral:lncRNA from 1 species